rnacentral:piRNA from 1 species
UGUUAGAAGACAUGGCCCUGUUGGAGC